GACGAACGCUGGCUGCGUGCUUAACACAUGCAAGUCGAACGCUGAAGCCCGAAGCUUGCUUCGGGUGGAUGAGUGGCGAACGGGUGAGUAACACGUGAGUAACCUGCCCCUGAUUUCGGGAUAAGCCUGGGAAACUGGGUCUAAUACCGGAUACGACCACCUGACGCAUGUCGGGUGGUGGAAAGUUUUUCGAUCGGGGAUGGGCUCGCGGCCUAUCAGCUUGUUGGUGGGGUAAUGGCCUACCAAGGAGACGACGGGGAGCCGGCCUGAGAGGGCAGACGGCCACACUGGGACUGAGACACGGCCCAGACUCCUACGGGAGGCAGCAGUGGGGAAUAUUGCACAAUGGGGGAAACCCUGAUGCAGCGACGCAGCGUGCGGGAUGACGGCCUUCGGGUUGUAAACCGCUUUCAGCAGGGAAGAAGCGAAAGUGACGGUACCUGCAGAAGAAGUACCGGCUAACUACGUGCCAGCCGCCGCAGUAA
rnacentral:rRNA from 1 species